rnacentral:rRNA from 1 species
AGGGUUUGAUCAUGGCUCAGAACGUACGCUGGCGGCACGCCUAAUACAUGCAAGUCGAACGAAGUAGCAAUACUUAGUGGCAGACGGGUGAGUAACAUGUAGGUAUCUACCCUUUGGCCUGGAAUAACACGAGGAAACUUGUGCUAAUACCGGAUAAGUCUUUACGGAGAAAGCUUUAUGCACCAUUGGAUGAGCCUGCACUUGAUUAGUUUGUUGGUGGGGUAAUGGCCUACCAAGACUGUGAUCAAUAGCUGAUUUGAGAGGAUGAUCAGCCACAUUGGGACUGAGACACGGCCCAAACUCCUACGGGAGGCAGCAGUAGGGAAUCUUGCACAAUGGAGGAAACUCUGAUGCAGCGAUGCCGCGUGAGUGAAGAAGGCCUUUGGGUUGUAAAGCUCUUUCGUCGGGGAAGAAAAUGACUGUACCCGAAUAAGAAGGUCCGGCUAACUUCGUGCCAGCAGCCGCGGUAAUACGAAGGGACCUAGCGUAGUUCGGAAUUACUGGGCUUAAAGAGUUCGUAGGUGGUUGAAAAAGUUGGUGGUGAAAUCCCAGAGCUUAACUCUGGAACUGCCAUCAAAACUUUUCAGCUAGAGUAUGAUAGAGGAAAGCAGAAUUUCUAGUGUAGAGGUGAAAUUCGUAGAUAUUAGAAAGAAUACCAAUUGCGAAGGCAGCUUUCUGGAUCAUUACUGACACUGAGGAACGAAAGCAUGGGUAGCGAAGAGGAUUAGAUACCCUCGUAGUCCAUGCCGUAAACGAUGUGUGUUAGACGUUGGAAAUUUAUUUUCAGUGUCGCAGCGAAAGCGAUAAACACACCGCCUGGGGAGUACGACCGCAAGGUUAAAACUCAAAUGAAUUGACGGGGACCCGCACAAGUAGUGGAGCAUGUGGUUUAAUUCGAAGAUACGCGCAGAACCUUACCAACACUUGACAUGUUCGUCGCGACUUUAAGAGAUUAAAGUUUUCGGUUCGGCCGGACGAAACACAGGUGCUGCAUGGCUGUCGUCAGCUCGUGUCGUGAGAUGUUGGGUUAAGUCCCGCAACGAGCGCAACCCUCACUUUUAGUUGCCAUCAUUAAGUUGGGCACUCUGAAAGAACUGCCAGUGAUAAGCUGGAGGAAGGUGGGGAUGACGUCAAGUCCUCAUGGCCCUUACGUGUUGGGCUACACACGUGCUACAAUGGUAUCUACAACAGGAAGCAAGACUGCGAAGUUUAGCAAAUCCUUAAAAGAUACCUCAGUUCGGAUUGCACUCUGCAACUCGAGUGCAUGAAGCUGGAAUUACUAGUAAUCGUGGAUCAGCGUGCCACGGUGAAUGCGUUCCCGGGUCUUGUACACACCGCCCGUCACACCAUGGGAGUUGGUUCUACCUUAAGGCAAGGUUUAAAACCCUUGACCACGGUAUAGUCAGCGACUGGGGUGAAGUCAUAACAAGGUAACCGUA